GAACGCUGGCGGCAUGCCUUACACAUGCAAGGUCGAACGGCAGCGGACCGUUCGGGUGCCGGCGAGUGGCGAACGGUGAGUAAUAUAUCGGAACGUACCUUCAGGUGGGGGAUAACGUAGCGAAAGUUACGCUAAUACCGCAUAUUCUGUGAGCAGGAAAGCAGGGGAUCGCAAGACCUUGCGCUGAUUGAGCGGCCGAUAUCAGAUUAGCUAGUUGGUGAGGUAAAGGCUCACCAAGGCGACGAUCUGUAGCGGGUCUGAGAGGAUGAUCCGCCACACUGGAACUGAGACACGGUCCAGACUCCUACGGGAGGCAGCAGUGGGGAAUUUUGGACAAUGGGCGCAAGCCUGAUCCAGCCAUGCCGCGUGAGUGAAGAAGGCCUUCGGGUUGUAAAGCUCUUUCGGCCGGGAAGAAAUCGCACAGGUUAAUACCCUGUGUGGAUGACGGUACCGGAAUAAGAAGCACCGGCUAACUACGUG
rnacentral:rRNA from 1 species